rfam:Cavia porcellus supercont2_56 genomic scaffold, whole genome shotgun sequence.
AGGGAUUUAGCUCAGUGGCAUAAGCGCCUGCCUUGCAAGCAGGUGGUUGUGAGUUCAAUCCUUG